rnacentral:rRNA from 1 species
GAUGAACGCUGGCGGCGUGCCUGAUACAUGCAAGUCGAGCGAAUGGAUUAAGAGCUUGCUCUUAUGAAGUUAGCGGCGGACGGGUGAGUAACACGUGGGUAACCUGCCCAUAAGACUGGGAUAACUCCGGGAAACCGGGGCUAAUACCGGAUAACAUUUUGAACCGCAUGGUUCGAAAUUGAAAGGCGGCUUCGGCUGUCACUUAUGGAUGGACCCGCGUCGCAUUAGCUAGUUGGUGAGGUACGGCUCACCAAGGCAACGAUGCGUAGCCGACCUGAGAGGGUGAUCGGCCAAACUGGGACUGAGACACGGCCCAGACUCCUACGGGAGGCAGCAGUAGGGAAUCUUCCGCAAUGGACGAAAGUCUGACGGAGCAACGCCGCGUGAGUGAUGAAGGCUUUCGGGUCGUAAAACUCUGUUGUUAGGGAAGAACAAGUGCUAGUUGAAUAAGCUGGCACCUUGACGGUACCUAACCAGAAAGCCACGGCUAACUACGUGCCAGCAGCCGCGGUAA